CCUACGGGUGGCUGCAGUGGGGAAUAUUGCACAAUGGGGGAAACCCUGAUGCAGCGACGCCGCGUGAGUGAAGAAGUAAUUCGUUACGUAAAGCUCUAUCAGCCGGGAAGCAACACUGACCUUACGGUCAGCAGACGGUACCUGAGUAAGAAGCCCCGCCUCACUACGUGCCAGCAGCCGCGGUAAUACGUCGGGGGCAAGCGUUAUCCGGAUUUACUUGGUGUAAAGGGAGCGUAGACGGUGCGCCAAGUCUGGUGUGAAAUGCCGCAGCUUAACUUAGGAACUGCUUUUGAAACUGGCGAACUAGAGUGCGGGAGGGGUAAGCGGAAUGCGGAGGGGAGCGGUGAAAUGCGUAGAUAUUAGGAGGAACACCGGUGGCGAAGGCGGCUUACUGGACCGUAACUGACGUUGAGGCUCGAAAGCGUGGGGAGCAAACAGGAUUAGAUACCCUAGUAGUC
rnacentral:rRNA from 1 species